AUCACCAUUAAAUUUGGCACAGAUCUCUAGAAAAGUUGUCACAUAGGUGUGGGACUUGACUUUUCUAGAGAUCUGUGCCAAAUUUAAUGGUGAU
rnacentral:pre_miRNA from 1 species